ACAUGGCUCAGUGGUAAAGAAUCCACCUGCAGUGAAGGAGACAUAGGAGACGCAGUUUCAAUCCCUGGGUUGGGAAGAUCCCAUGGAGAAGGAAAUGGCAACCCACUCCAGUAUUCUUGCCUGGAGAAUCCCAUAGUCAGAGGAGCCUGGCUGGUUACAGCCCAUGGGGGUCACAAAGAGCCGAACACGACUGAAGUGGCUUAGUACAUCAAGCUUUUUAACGUUCGCCUUUUGAGCCAUGUUACCUGAUGCGACGACACAUCAUGCAGUGAUAGUCUCUGGGGCCUACUGGACAGCAGCUACGCAGGAUCUGAGGCUUUGGAUGUGAACAACACACUGGUCCAAGAAAAUCCACAGGAGAGGUUUUUGAUAUUGAGGAAGUUGGUUGCAGUGCCCUCUUUAUGAAGACCCAUGGAGGAAAUUUUCUUCAGGAAUCUUUGUGCUUCUCUUGAGUGUCUGAUUUGUUUCCAUUUUCUGGUUUUUGAAUUGACUGUUAGGCAGCUCAGAGUAAAAUUUUUGGCCCUUUUCCAGCAAGUCAACAGAGCUUCAUGGGUUAUAUUUUCUGUACCAGCCCCAGCUUUAUCUUAUUUCCCCUGCAAUCCAAUUUUCUCACUGUGUUUUAAAAAUAGAAUUGUAAUAUAUUCUUGUAAACUACAUUCUUCUUGGGCUAAAAUGAGAUGUAAAACAGUGAAUAAA
ensembl:lncRNA